CAUAUGCAACAAGUUAGGUUGCAUGGACAAGUUGAGUUUCAGUUUAAAUAUAGAAACUCUGGAACAUUUUAUUAUAAAGGAAUAGUGCUGGGAAACUCCUUAAAGAAUGACUACAAAAGGAACUAUGAGAAGAAGAUAAUAAGAUUAACACUAGAGAACCUUGAAAAGUGAUAGCAGCAGCUAUGGAAACAUCUGCUUGCCAAGCAGUGCUAUAUAUAUUGGGUCAUGACAGUUGUUAAGUUGUGUUUUCUGAUGCUGAUGCUGAGGAAGAUGACACCAGGUUAAGCAUGGCCAAAUAUUUUCAGAAUGAAAGAUGGGUGCUUCAGCUCAUGCUCCUCUCACAUUUGGUGGAAGGAGCAACAGUUGAUAUCAUGGCUUCUUCAGGCAGAAACGGCAAAAUUGCCAAGUUCCACGAGACAAUUUCUUACAGGAGAACAGGCAGGACCCGCGGCCCUGAAAAGGUAGCAAUGAAGCAGACCCGGUUGCUAAAAUGAAAUCGCUUAAUUUGUCACGUGAGCGUGCCUACCCAGAAACUAUUAGUUGCGUUGGAAGAAAGACUGAAAAUACGUAAACUCUAAGAGAAGGUCCGGUCUCUACAUGGCAUGCUGAGUUUAGGGAAAUCUGCAUGCUGCUUUCCUUUCCCACAAAAGACGCUGAGGUGUCCCUGGUGUGCCUAACGGCACAUUUCAGGUCAUCCCAGAGUGGAAAUCUAUCUCAGAGGAAAAUUUGAUGUCCUUGUUCAGCCUGGAGCACAAUUCUACGAUGCAUCAAUUCUACUUCAUAGCUCAUUAAAUUGCUGCAGGACUCCUGCGUGAUAACAGUUGAUCACAGCUGAAGAAUCUACAAUGUAUGAGUUCUGUUUAAGAAGGAGUUCUUAGGAAUACCCAAAGACAACAGGGGACCUAAAAGACAAGGGCAUCAGAGGAAUUUGACCACCCUGGAACCUACAGCUUUAGCAACCAUUAAUUACAGUCGGCCAGAUGAACAUAAAACUUCACAGUGAAUUUAUCAAUGUAUUUUCUGCUUUUUUGGAACAGGCUGGGGAUGAGUUAACUGUGUUCAAAUCUUGUAUAGGUUACAACUUAAUUUUGUCUGCUUGAUCUAGAAGUUCCUGAAAAAGAUGUAUACAGACGAUAUACAGACAAUUUAUGUACCAGUGCAAUGACAGAUACUCUGGAAAAUACAGUCUGGAGAAAGAACUAAAGGAGAAAGGGUGAGAGAAAGGAACCUGAGGUAGGAAAUAUGAAUUGAAGCUAACUGAUGGACUACCAAAAUGGACACUACUUCAUGACAAGCUCCAAAGAGAAACAGCUCAAUGGAUAUGUCCACUCAGUAUACAAGAUUCUUCUGGAUUUAUUUGUUUGUUUGUUUGUUUAUUUGUUUAUUUUAAAGAAGCCCAUAAGAGCAGGUACAUGUUAUGGAUUAAAUUCCAUUCCCUCAAAAUUCAUAUGUCAUCCUAACUUGUAAUAUGACUGUAUUCAGAAAAAGGCCGUUGAGGAAGUAAUUAAGGUCAAAUGAGGUCAUAAGGGUGGGGCCCUAAUUCUGAUUGGAUUAGUAUCCUUAGAAGAAGAGGAAGAGGCUUCAUGGGUAUGUGUACGCAGAGGAAAGGCCAUGUAUGUAAGGACACAAAGAGAAGACAGCUGUCUGCACACAAAAGAAGGAGGUCUGAGGACACCCCAAACCUGCUGACACCUUGGUCCUUGACUCCUAGCCUCUGGGUCUAUGAAAAAACAAACUGUUGCUAUUUCAGCCACCUAAUUGUACUCUGUUAUGACAGUCCUAACAAACUAAUAUAGUAAAGAAGGGGAAUCUCCCAGGCUUCCAUCUCUCUUUAAUCUAUCGGGUCCCAAUUCUAAAAGAUUGCAUCACCCCUUGGAUGAUGCAGUUCAGGAUGCCGUACCUGAUCUCUUUGGUACAGAGUUUAAGCCAAGUCUAGAAAUGUCAUUAAAGCUGGAAACUCUGGGUGUGUAGCUGGUUGGCUGAGAUAUGCAGGUGGCCAAAGGGAGGUGAUUGGCACUUCCCAGGCAAUGUGAAUAUUUGGUAUUGCAUGUGGCAGUGUGUUAUAGGAAGUGAACCACAUUAUAAAUUUCAGUGUAUCCUCAAGAUAUGUGUCCUGUAUAAUAGGGGAAGUGGGGAAGCUAAUAUCUGAACUCAGAAGACCAUCUUAACUGGAAGUCUUAUAGACAUUUAUUAUUCCCAUUUCUCUUAAGUUUCAUUUUACUUAAAUGAAUAUACCUCACAUUUAGAUAUACAAUAAACUCUUUGGGUUAUCUAGUUUAACACUCUCAUGCUAAAAGUGAGAGAAUUCCGGCUCACAAAAGUGAUAUUACUUGCUUAAUUUGUAGAUCCUAAGGGAUUUGCUUUACCUAAUUUGCUUAGUCUUAGAAUUUGGUUCUCAACCCAUUGUAAAAUCCAAGGGACUUCCCAUUAUUUUAUGCUUAUGUUCUAUGAGGAUAGAUCGAUAAAAAAUAGCAUGAUAUGGCAUGAGAGGCUGUAAAAUUUCAAAUGGCACACAAGUUGAACUAUCUGGCUUUGUUUUCCAAAUAUGGUAGCUAAUAAAACAGAACUUGAGCAGAAUAAGGUGUUCAGUGUAAAAGGUAAAGCUGUGAUGCUGACUUCAAAGUUAGCGGAUGAAACCAAUCACUUCUUUACACUGAACUGUAAAAGGUCAGUUACAAGAGAGAAAAAUACUAUUGGAGGCUUACAUUUAGUGCAGCAAUACGUCAGCUAGCAUUGGGUAACCAGGUGAAUAAACUUGCCUUAGUGGCUGUCUUUUGUCACUUGUUUUUUCUGAAAAAGCAUAUCAAAUUGCAAUAUUUUUAAUUAAGAGAAAAUAAUACGAUUAUUCGAAAAAUAUGGGAAUCAGGAAGAAUACGAAGAUUAUAAGGAAUAAACAGUCGUUACAAAUUGAAAACAGGAAUGAUGUAUCACGUGUUCUAGGCAUCUAAGUUGACAAUAUUGUGGGUCUAUGAUAAAAUUUGGGGGGACCUGUUCUUUAAAAUAAAAGUAAUCAACAUCAUCUAAUGUAUAUUCAGUGUUUGAGAAUAUAACAGGAGCAAAAUGACAAAAUCCACUCCGAUUUUGUUCUUUACUUCCAUUACAACUAGAAGCAAACAUUACUGUUUCCUGGUUUGAUGCUGAGUGAAUAGGUGAUAGCUGGCAGUUCAUCCAGAAUCGCUCAUAAGUAAUCAGUAGACGCUAUGCCUUAUGUGACAGCUCUUCAUUUAGUUUAAUUUACUGUAACUCACGUGUAUUAAUAUCCUAGUAAGCUCCCUGGUGUCCCAUUUCUGGCAGUGUGAGUGUCUCAUUUUCUCUGUAUGGGAUUCCCUUGUGAAAUAUUUGGGAGCUCUAACACAGAAAGCAUCAGGAAGGGAAGGAUGCUGCUUGGAGGAAUAGUUUUUUAUGUGGUCGACUAAGUAAUCUGUUACUCAAAAGGUGAUAAAAACACGUAGUUUGGAUAAAUUGUUUUAACAUUUAUUGCAAAAUUUAUAAUUGCAUCGAUUGCUGAAAAUAAUACCAUUAAAUAAAUGUAGUAGUAUUUGUUUUUCUUGCUGUGUUCCUUUCCUAAAUUUUACAAAUGUGUAUUAAAUUCAUACUACGUGUAAGCCACGGUGGUAUAUGUUUAUAGAUCCAAAACUCAUUGUUAGAAAUUCCAUUUUCACUAGUAUGGAUAAAUAGAUACCUCCCACUAAAAACAACUGUGAAUGCUUUAUAAACUAUUUAUAGUUCAUUUAUUUUUGUCUAUUUAUUUACUUAUCUACAUUAGGAUGGCUCAUAUAUUCUUAUAUGCAAUAGACUGUGUUCCAUUAAUAUAGUUACUCAUGUCUGAUGCUCAACAUGUAUCGUAUUUGUUCAGCAGGAUUCUCUUAUAUUCAGCUUUUGUGUCCUUUGGGUUUUUUUCCCAUCAUUCUUUGAAUAUUUUCUUAUUGAAGGCAGUAGAAGACACUUCAGGUUUAUUUUUUAAUUUUCAUACCCCAGCUUUGGAAUUAGCUGUUUCUCCAAAAAAGCCUCACAACCUUUAGGUGGAAAAAGAUAUUUAGCAGCCAAGAUCAGGGUGGUAAGUGUGCUCAUUGCUACCUGUAUUAUUGGUCUUAGGCUCUUACUGGAAAAAGAAAGGACAUGUGACAUAUAUAAUAUCAUUUUUUAUAUCUAUUUAUUUUUCUCUCUGUCUUAAAGACCAUGAGUUCAUACUGGUAUUUCAAAUUCCCAAGAGUGAGAAAUUGGACUCUCAUUACUAUCAAUACGUCCAUUCAUUUAAUCAAGCCUAGAGCACACAGAAAGUAGUUUCACAGUUGCUAACUCAUUACUACAAAAAAGAAUUCUGUAUUUGUUUACUGUAUGUAUGUGAAAUACAUAAACUUUUUUUCCCCAAUUUUAUCAAGACGCAAUUGACAUCCAUCACUGUAUAAGUUUAAGGCAUACACCAUGAAGGUUUGAUUUACAUAUAUUGUGAAAUGAUGAAUGCAUUCGAUUCAGUUAACGUCUAUCUUCUCAUAUGGAUACAACAACAACAACACAAAAAAGAAAAAAAAAAGAGAAAACAUUUUCUCUUUGUGAUGAGAACUCUUAGGAUCUACUCUCUUUAACAACUCCGUUUCCUAUAUAUCAUACAGAAGUGUUAGCUUUAGUCAUCCUGUGUACAUCACAUCCUAGUACUAGCUUAAGCAUUUAAUUCAUUUUCUCAAAAGCAGACAUUCAUGUAAUCCCCACCCCUAACAAGAAUAGAACAUUUUUUUCAGUCUCCUUCCUAGUUGUUCUCCUCUCGUGCCAAAUUACUUUCCUGAAUUUUUAUCAUGAAUAUACCACAAUCUGUUUGUACAUUCUCCUGUUGGUGGGCAUUUGAAUUAUUUCCAUUUUUUAAGCUAUUUUGAACAAAGUUUCUACAAGUAUUCUUGGGCAAAAUUUUUGUAGACAUAUUUUCAUUUCUCUUGGGUAAAUACCUAGGAGUGGAAUUAUUUGGAUUACACAAUGGGUACAUGUUCAAUUUUGUAAGAAACUGCCAAACUGUUUUGUAACUUAUCGUUCCAGUUUACCUUCCCAUAUUCAAUGUAUGAACAUUCCAGUGGCCCCACAUCCUUGCUUA